rnacentral:rRNA from 1 species
AGUGAACGCUGGCGGUAGGCCUAACACAUGCAAGUCGAACGGCAGCACAGUAAGAGCUUGCUCUUACGGGUGGCGAGUGGCGGACGGGUGAGGAAUACAUCGGAAUCUACUUUUUCGUGGGGGAUAACGUAGGGAAACUUACGCUAAUACCGCAUACGACCUACGGGUGAAAGCAGGGGAUCUUCGUGCCUUGCGCGAUUGGAUGAGCCGAUGUCGGAUUAGCUAGUUGGCGGGGUAAAGGCCCACCAAGGCGACGAUCCGUAGCUGGUCUGAGAGGAUGAUCAGCCACACUGGAACUGAGACACGGUCCAGACUCCUACGGGAGGCAGCAGUGGGGAAUAUUGGACAAUGGGCGCAAGCCUGAUCCAGCCAUACCGCGUGGGUGAAGAAGGCCUUCGGGUUGUAAAGCCCUUUUGUUGGGAAAGAAAAGCAGCAGGUUAAUACCCCGCUGUUCUGACGGUACCCAAAGAAUAAGCACCGGCUAACUUCGUG